UACGUAGGCAGCGAGCGUUGUUCGGAGUUACUGGGCGUAAAGGGUGUGUAGGCGGUUGAUUAAGUCAGAUGUGAAAUCCCCGGGCUUAACCUGGGAGCUGCAUUUGAGACUGGUCGGCUAGAGUGUGUCAGAGGGGGGUAGAAUUCCACGUGUAGCAGUGAAAUGCGUAGAGAUGUGGAGGAAUACCGAUGGCGAAGGCAGCCCCCUGGGAUAACACUGACGCUCAGGCACGAAAGCGUGGGGAGCAAACAGG
rnacentral:rRNA from 1 species